UACGGAGGGGGCGAGCGUUAUUCGGAAUUAUUGGGCGUAAAGGGCGCGUAGGCGGCUGGGCAAGUCAAAGGUGAAAUCCCUCGGCUCAACUGAGGAACUGCCUUUGAAACUGCCUGGCUUGAGGCCGGGAGGGGGUAGCGGAAUUCCCAGUGUAGCGGUGAAAUGCGUAGAUAUUGGGAGGAACACCAGUGGCGAAGGCGGCUACCUGGACCGGUUCUGACGCUGACGCGCGAAAGCCAGGGGAGCAAACGGG
rnacentral:rRNA from 1 species